UUAAGCGACUAAGCGUACACGGUGGAUGCCCUGGCAGUCAGAGGCGAUGAAGGACGUGCUAAUCUGCGAUAAGCGUCGGUAAGGUGAUAUGAACCGUUAUAACCGGCGAUUUCCGAAUGGGGAAACCCAGUGUGAUUCGUCACACUAUCAUUAACUGAAUCCAUAGGUUAAUGAGGCGAACCGGGGGAACUGAAACAUCUAAGUACCCCGAGGAAAAGAAAUCAACCGAGAUUCCCCCAGUAGCGGCGAGCGAACGGGGAGGAGCCCAGAGCCUGAAUCAGUGUGUGUGUUAGUGGAAGCGUCUGGAAAGGCGCGCGAUACAGGGUGACAGCCCCGUACACAAAAAUGCACAUACUGUGAGCUCGAUGAGUAGGGCGGGACACGUGGUAUCCUGUCUGAAUAUGGGGGGACCAUCCUCCAAGGCUAAAUACUCCUGACUGACCGAUAGUGAACCAGUACCGUGAGGGAAAGGCGAAAAGAACCCCGGCGAGGGGAGUGAAAAAGAACCUGAAACCGUGUACGUACAAGCAGUGGGAGCCUCUUUUAUGGGGUGACUGCGUACCUUUUGUAUAAUGGGUCAGCGACUUAUAUUCUGUAGCAAGGUUAACCGAAUAGGGGAGCCGAAGGGAAACCGAGUCUUAACCGGGCGUUAAGUUGCAGGGUAUAGACCCGAAACCCGGUGAUCUAGCCAUGGGCAGGUUGAAGGUUGGGUAACACUAACUGGAGGACCGAACCGACUAAUGUUGAAAAAUUAGCGGAUGACUUGUGGCUGGGGGUGAAAGGCCAAUCAAACCGGGAGAUAGCUGGUUCUCCCCGAAAGCUAUUUAGGUAGCGCCUCGUGAAUUCAUCUCCGGGGGUAGAGCACUGUUUCGGCAAGGGGGUCAUCCCGACUUACCAACCCGAUGCAAACUGCGAAUACCGGAGAAUGUUAUCACGGGAGACACACGGCGGGUGCUAACGUCCGUCGUGAAGAGGGAAACAACCCAGACCGCCAGCUAAGGUCCCAAAGUCAUGGUUAAGUGGGAAACGAUGUGGGAAGGCCCAGACAGCCAGGAUGUUGGCUUAGAAGCAGCCAUCAUUUAAAGAAAGCGUAAUAGCUCACUGGUCGAGUCGGCCUGCGCGGAAGAUGUAACGGGGCUAAACCAUGCACCGAAGCUGCGGCAGCGACACUGUGUGUUGUUGGGUAGGGGAGCGUUCUGUAAGCCUGUGAAGGUGUCUGUGAGGUAUGCUGGAGGUAUCAGAAGUGCGAAUGCUGACAUAAGUAACGAUAAAGCGGGUGAAAAGCCCGCUCGCCGGAAGGCCAAGGGUUCCUGUCCAACGUUAAUCGGGGCAGGGUGAGUCGACCCCUAAGGCGAGGCCGAAAGGCGUAGUCGAUGGGAAACAGGUUAAUAUUCCUGUACUUGGUGUUACUGCGAAGGGGGGACGGAGAAGGCUAUGUUGGCCGGGCGACCGGUUUGUCCCGGUUUAAGCGUGUAGGCUGGUUUCCCAGGCAAAUCCGGAAAAAUCAAGGCUGAGGCGUGAUGACGAGGCACUACGGUGCUGAAGCAACAAAUGCCCCUGCUUCCAGGAAAAGCCUCUAAGCAUCAGGUAACAUCAAAUCGUACCCCAAACCGACACAGGUGGUCAGGUAGAGAAUACCAAGGCGCUUGAGAGAACUCGGGUGAAGGAACUAGGCAAAAUGGUGCCGUAACUUCGGGAGAAGGCACGCUGAUAUGUAGGUGAAGUCCCUCGCGGAUGGAGCUGAAAUCAGUCGAAGAUACCAGCUGGCUGCAACUGUUUAUUAAAAACACAGCACUGUGCAAACACGAAAGUGGACGUAUACGGUGUGACGCCUGCCCGGUGCCGGAAGGUUAAUUGAUGGGGUCAGCGCAAGCGAAGCUCUUGAUCGAAGCCCCGGUAAACGGCGGCCGUAACUAUAACGGUCCUAAGGUAGCGAAAUUCCUUGUCGGGUAAGUUCCGACCUGCACGAAUGGCGUAAUGAUGGCCAGGCUGUCUCCACCCGAGACUCAGUGAAAUUGAACUCGCUGUGAAGAUGCAGUGUACCCGCGGCAAGACGGAAAGACCCCGUGAACCUUUACUAUAGCUUGACACUGAACAUUGAGCCUUGAUGUGUAGGAUAGGUGGGAGGCUUUGAAGUGUGGACGCCAGUCUGCAUGGAGCCGACCUUGAAAUACCACCCUUUAAUGUUUGAUGUUCUAACGUGGACCCGUGAUCCGGGUUGCGGACAGUGUCUGGUGGGUAGUUUGACUGGGGCGGUCUCCUCCUAAAGAGUAACGGAGGAGCACGAAGGUUGGCUAAUCCUGGUCGGACAUCAGGAGGUUAGUGCAAUGGCAUAAGCCAGCUUGACUGCGAGCGUGACGGCGCGAGCAGGUGCGAAAGCAGGUCAUAGUGAUCCGGUGGUUCUGAAUGGAAGGGCCAUCGCUCAACGGAUAAAAGGUACUCCGGGGAUAACAGGCUGAUACCGCCCAAGAGUUCAUAUCGACGGCGGUGUUUGGCACCUCGAUGUCGGCUCAUCACAUCCUGGGGCUGAAGUAGGUCCCAAGGGUAUGGCUGUUCGCCAUUUAAAGUGGUACGCGAGCUGGGUUUAGAACGUCGUGAGACAGUUCGGUCCCUAUCUGCCGUGGGCGCUGGAGAACUGAGGGGGGCUGCUCCUAGUACGAGAGGACCGGAGUGGACGCAUCACUGGUGUUCGGGUUGUCAUGCCAAUGGCACUGCCCGGUAGCUAAAUGCGGAAGAGAUAAGUGCUGAAAGCAUCUAAGCACGAAACUUGCCCCGAGAUGAGUUCUCCCUGACCCUUUAAGGGUCCUGAAGGAACGUUGAAGACGACGACGUUGAUAGGCCGGGUGUGUAAGCGCAGCGAUGCGUUGAGCUAACCGGUACUAAUGAACCGUGAGGCUUAACCUU
rnacentral:rRNA from 1 species